UAGUCUAGUGGUUAAGGCUAUGGAUCGAAAAUCCGGAGACGGCGGGUUCGAUUCCCGU
rnacentral:tRNA from 1 species